GGGUUGUGAGGUUAAGCGACUAAGCGUACACGGUGGAUGCCCUGGCAGUCAGAGGCGAUGAAGGACGUGCUAAUCUGCGAUAAGCGCCGGUAAGGUGAUAUGAACCGUUAUAACCGGCGAUUUCCGAAUGGGGAAACCCAGUGUGAUUCGUCACACUAUCAUUAACUGAAUCCAUAGGUUAAUGAGGCGAACCGGGGGAACUGAAACAUCUAAGUACCCCGAGGAAAAGAAAUCAACCGAGAUUCCCCCAGUAGCGGCGAGCGAACGGGGAGGAGCCCAGAGCCUGAAUCAGCAUGUGUGUUAGUGGAAGCGUCUGGAAAGGUGCGCGAUACAGGGUGACAGCCCCGUACACAAAAGCGCAUGUGCUGUGAGCUCGAUGAGUAGGGCGGGACACGUGGUAUCCUGUCUGAAUAUGGGGGGACCAUCCUCCAAGGCUAAAUACUCCUGACUGACCGAUAGUGAACCAGUACCGUGAGGGAAAGGCGAAAAGAACCCCGGCGAGGGGAGUGAAAAAGAACCUGAAACCGUGUACGUACAAGCAGUGGGAGCACCCUUCGGGGUGUGACUGCGUACCUUUUGUAUAAUGGGUCAGCGACUUAUAUUCUGUAGCAAGGUUAACCGUAUAGGGGAGCCGUAGGGAAACCGAGUCUUAACCGGGCGUUAAGUUGCAGGGUAUAGACCCGAAACCCGGUGAUCUAGCCAUGGGCAGGUUGAAGGUUGGGUAACACUAACUGGAGGACCGAACCGACUAAUGUUGAAAAAUUAGCGGAUGACCUGUGGCUGGGGGUGAAAGGCCAAUCAAACCGGGAGAUAGCUGGUUCUCCCCGAAAGCUAUUUAGGUAGCGCCUCGUGAAUUCAUCUCCGGGGGUAGAGCACUGUUUCGGCUAGGGGGCCAUCCCGGCUUACCAACCCGAUGCAAACUGCGAAUACCGGAGAAUGUUAUCACGGGAGACACACGGCGGGUGCUAACGUCCGUCGUGAAGAGGGAAACAACCCAGACCGCCAGCUAAGGUCCCAAAGUCAUGGUUAAGUGGGAAACGAUGUGGGAAGGCCCAGACAGCCAGGAUGUUGGCUUAGAAGCAGCCAUCAUUUAAAGAAAGCGUAAUAGCUCACUGGUCGAGUCGGCCUGCGCGGAAGAUGUAACGGGGCUAAACCAUGCACCGAAGCUGCGGCAGCGAACGUAUCACCCAAGACAACUUUACGGAGUUGACGAUUGACGGAGCGAAGCGACGUCAAAGCGUUCAUUAAAGUCGAGUUGGCUUAGGGAUACGUUCGUUGGGUAGGGGAGCGUUCUGUAAGCCUGUGAAGGUGUGUCGUGAGGCAUGCUGGAGGUAUCAGAAGUGCGAAUGCUGACAUAAGUAACGAUAAAGCGGGUGAAAAGCCCGCUCGCCGGAAGACCAAGGGUUCCUGUCCAACGUUAAUCGGGGCAGGGUGAGUCGACCCCUAAGGC
rnacentral:rRNA from 1 species